rnacentral:rRNA from 1 species
GACGUAGGGCGCGAGCGUUGUCCGGAUUUAUUGGGCGUAAAGAGCUCGUAGGCGGCUUGUCGCGUCGACCGUGAAAACUUGGGGCUCAACCCCAAGCCUGCGGUCGAUACGGGCAGACUAGAGUCAGGUAGGGGAGAACGGAAUUCCUGGUGUAGCGGUGAAAUGCGCAGAUAUCAGGAGGAACACCGGUGGCGAAGGCGGUUCUCUGGGCCUGUACUGACGCUGAGGAACGAAAGCGUGGGGAGCGAACAGG